CCUACGGGAGGCAGCAGUGAGGAAUAUUGGUCACUGGACGAGAGUCUGAACCAGCCAAGUAGCGUGAAGGAUGACUGCCCUAUGGGUUGUAAACUUCUUUUAUAUGGGAAUAAAAUGUUCCACGUGUGGGGUUUUGUAUGUACCAUAUGAAUAAGGAUCGGCUAACUCCGUGCCAGCAGCCGCGGUAAUACGGAGGAUCCGAGCGUUAUCCGGAUUUAAUGGGUUUAAAGGGGGCGUAGGUGGAUGGUUAAGUCAGUUGUGAAAGUGGGCGGCUCAACCGUAAAAUUGCAGUUGAAACUGGCAGUCUUGAGUACAGGAGAGGUGGGCGGAAUGCGUGGUGUAGCGGUGAAAUGCUUAGAUAUCACGAAGAACUCCGAUUGCGAAGGCAGCUUACUAAACUGCCACUGACAUUGAUGCUCGAAAGUGUGGGUAUCAAACAGGAUUAGAUACCCGAGUAGUC
rnacentral:rRNA from 1 species